rnacentral:Y_RNA from 1 species
GGCUGGUCUGAAUGCAGCGAUGUUUACAACAGGCUGAUCACAACCAGUUACAGAUUUGUUUCUUCUCCACUCCCACUGCUUUCCAUAACUAGCCUAAA